rnacentral:rRNA from 1 species
CCUACGGGAGGCAGCAGUGGGGAAUAUUGCACAAUGGGGGAAACCCUGAUGCAGCGACGCCGCGUGAAUGAAGAAGUAUUUCGGUAUGUAAACUUCUAUCAGCAGGGAAGAAAAUGACGGUACCUGACUAAGAAGCCCCGGCUAACUACGUGCCAGCAGCCGCGGUCAUACGUAGGGGGCGAGCGUUAUCCGGAUUUACUGGGUGUAACGGGAGCGUAGGCGGUUUAGCAAGUCAGAAGUGAAAGCCCGGGGAUAAACUCCGGGACUGCUUUUGAAACUGGGGAACUAGAUUGCAGGAGAGGGAAGUGGAAUUCCUAGUGUAGCGGUGAAAUGCGUAGAGAUGAGGAGGAACACCAGUGGCGAAGGCGGCUUACUGGACUGGAAAUGACGCUGAGGCUCGAAAGCGUGGGGAGCAAACAGGAUUAGAUACCCCAGUAGUC